rnacentral:lncRNA from 13 species
UAAGCCUUUAUCUCUUCCACCAUCUCCAGGCUGAAUCAAUUGGUACCAGGAGAGCCCAGAAGCCACACACGCAUCUCUGCCUCUUUGCUCUGGCUCUCCCACCCUCUUCCCAUCUUUCUCUGCUUCCCUGUCACUGUUACUCCAGGAGACGUUCACUUUUCACCAACCUUUCUCCAAGCAUCUCCAAGCCACUGACUAUAUAUAUUUUGCUACAAGGGACCUAGAAGAGGAAAAAAGGCACGAGACGUUUCAACACGUCCUUUAAAAAAUCAAGAACGAAUUUCUUGAAAUGUUUGAGAACAAUUAAAAGGAAAAAGCGUUUUUUAAAAAUCUGUCAACUAAGUGAACAAUCAUUCAUAUCGUCUACAUCCUGAGAUAUUAUCGUCCCUCGCUGUGAACACCAGCGAGAUGACAGCUGCUUUUUCAUUUUUGAAUGUAAUAAAUAUUUGCUGCUUUUAAUAUUUUCCGGAAUCUCCCCUUGCUAUUCCCUGGAAUUUUAACUCUAAAGAUUGGAGAAGAGAUUAUCAAAAAGGCUUUUGCAAGCCUCCAAAAUGAUGCUGAGUCCGGACCAAGCCGCAGAUUCAGACCAUCCCAGCUCGGCGCACUCGGAUCCAGAGUCCCUGGGCGGCGCGGACGCCAAGGUGCUGGGCAGCGUGUCGGACUUGGAGCCGGUGGAGGAGGCCGAGGGCGACGGCAAGGGCGGCAGCCGGGCCGCGCUCUACCCGCACCCUCAGCAGCUGAGCCGGGAGGAGAAGCGCCGCCGCAGGCGCGCCACGGCCAAGUACCGCUCGGCCCACGCCACCCGCGAGCGCAUCCGCGUGGAGGCCUUCAACCUGGCCUUCGCCGAGCUCCGCAAACUGCUGCCCACGCUGCCCCCCGACAAGAAGCUCUCCAAGAUCGAGAUCCUGCGCCUGGCCAUCUGCUACAUCUCCUAUCUCAACCACGUCCUGGACGUGUAGAGUGGGGUGCGCCGCUGGGGGCCGCCUGUCCCGGGGUCCGGGAAACGCGACGGAUGCGGGCGGCGACCCCCGGGGUGGCGGAGGCUGCGGUGGCCCAGCGAGUCGGCCGCCGCGAGAGACUGGGGCCGGGGAAGAAGCUAUCUGGUCAGCAGGGCGACGAGGGAAGGUUUCCGACGCAGGCAGGUGGAGUUGUCUGGAGGGCCCUGGGGCUCGCAGCGGGGGAUUUUCCAGGCCAGGAGAACCUCACAGAGGCACCCGAGAUGAGCCGCCUCUGGGGCUCCCCAAGGGUUGUUGCUUUAACCCACUGGAGACUUUGA